rnacentral:rRNA from 1 species
CACGUAGGGCGCAAGCGUUGUCCGGAAUUAUUUGGGUGACGGUAAAAGAGCUCGGUUAGGCGGUCUGUUGCGAUCCGUCGUGUGAAAAACUCGGGGCUUAACCCCGAGCCUGCAGUGGAUACGGGCAGACUAGAGGUAGGUAGGGGAGAAUGGAAAUUCCCGGUGUAGCGGUGAAAUGCGCAGAUAUCGGGAGGAACAAC